GGGCCCGCACAAGCGGUGGAGUAUGUGGUUUAAUUCGAUGCAACGCGAAGAACCUUACCUGGGUUUGACAUCCCUCGAAUCCUCCCGAAAAGGAGGAGUGCCCUUCGGGGAACGGGGUGACAGGUGCUGCAUGGCUGUCGUCAGCUCGUGCCGUGAGGUGUUGGGUUAAGUCCCGCAACGAGCGCAACCCUUGUCCUUAGUUGCCAGCAGGUAGAGCUGGGCACUCUAGGGAGACCGCCUCGGUCAACGGGGAGGAAGGUGGGGACGACGUCAAGUCAUCAUGGCCCUUACGCCCAGGGCUACACACGUACUACAAUGGUGGGUACAAUGGGCUGCGAGACCGCAAGGUGGAGCCAAUCCCAAAAAACCCAUCCCAGUUCGGAUCGGGGUCUGCAACUCGACCCCGUGAAGUCGGAAUCGCUAGUAAUCGGAGAUCAGCAUGCUCCGGUGAAUACGUUCCCGGGCCUU
rnacentral:rRNA from 1 species